rnacentral:tRNA from 1 species
GGUGGGGUGCCAGAGUGGCCGAAUGGGUCUGCUUGGAGAGCAGAUAUACGGGAAACCGUAUCGCGAGUUCGAAUCUCGCCCCCACCG